GAACACAGUGGGGUUCAGAAGAAGGAACCUGGUGUCCUGGACUAGGGUGGUGUGUCUGUGAGGUGAACUUCCAGAGGAAGCUGGUGCUACAGACCAAGGGACACCUCCCCAGUCUGGAUCUCGGGAUGUAGGAUGCCCACUGGCCCUCCCUUUCUUCUGGUACUUGCCCAGCCCCGUCACCUCCCCAUCCCAUGCACAGACCCAGGAUUAUGUCACAAGCCUGGAAGCUUUGAAGGUGUUCCUGUCACUCGUGCCACACUGGAUACGAAUCUCCGGCCCCUUUCCACGCCGCGAAGCACAGUCUGCCGCUACUCAGCUCAGCAGCCACACUGGGCCCCGCCUGAAGCACGAACCCCGGUUUUUCCCGCUCCCCUUCCAGCAGCGGUUGCCUCUCCCCAGACGCUGUAUGUGCUGCGAUUGUCCAGACAAUGACAAUGGCGAUGGCACUGGGGAACACAUCAUUUAUUUAUGAGAUAAACAUCUUGGCCAGCUUUCACAACCAGGCCGGACAUCUCAUUGGUUCAGAAAGCCCUUCCCCGCGUCCAGGGCUCAAAAGCUGAACACAGACUUUACUUUGUGCACUGGGAAUACUUUUUUGCCUCUAGCUCCUCCCAUAGCAUUCUCACUGUGGCCCACACUCACAUGUACAUGGGCACUGGCAGGCACAGAGGUACCUAUUGCAUGCACACCAAGCAACAAGUGUGCACACCCUGCCCCUACUCGUUCCAUGUUAGCGGUCCAAGUUCCUUCCAGAUGUGGAUCUGACAAGGCACAGGAAAAUAAAAACAAACAAAC
rnacentral:lncRNA from 1 species